UAUCUUUUACAUAUAAAGGUGUUUGUCCAAUGAAACAUUGUAAAACUAUAAACAUACUAUAAAACUGCUAAUACAUACGUACUAAUACUACCAUAAAACAUACUAUAGGUACAGCAAAACAAUUUAAAAGAUACACUUCAAACAUCAUAACUAUAUAGGUUAACGCAUAUCAAUUUCUAGAAUAUCUUUUACACAUAAAGGUGUUUGUCCAAUGAAACAUUGUAAAACUAUAAACAUACUAUAAAAUUGCUAAUACAUACGUACUAAUACUACCAUAAAACAUACUAUAGGUACAGCAAAACAAUUUAAAAGAUACACUUCAAACAUCAUAACUAUAUAGGUUAACGCAUAUCAAUUUCUAGAAUAUCUUUUACACAUAAAGGUGUUUGUCCAAUGAAACAUUGUAAAACUAUAAACAUACUAUAAAACUGCUAAUACAUACGUCGUACUAAUACUACCAUAAAACAUACUAUAGGUACAGCAAAACAAUUUAAAAGAUACACUUCAAACAUCAUAACUAUAUAGGUUAACCCAUAUCAAUUUCUAGAAUAUCUCUAACAAGUUUCCUCCGAUGAAACAUCGUAAAACUACGUGCCAUGCACAAAGCAACACAUUCGAACAACUAUCACAAAAACCUUCUAACUAGUCUUAAUUCUUACAAUAUCCUCUAUUCCUCAACGGAACAUUGUAGAAUUACGGACUACAUAGAUAAAGCAACACGUUGGGAAUCUACAAUUGACAUAAACUUCUAUUACAAUAAUCUUCUUCCUCCUUUUACCGGCCUUCGGUUUUCCAUCUGCCGGUAUUGUCUAACAUCAUCGUUAAGCCGAAUGCAGAGAUGACUAAUGCCAAGGAUGGGAGGCGCGGCUCUUCCAACAGAGAAUCGUCCUUUACUAUUGUAACGAGGCGAAUCGUUACUCUUCAUCACGGGUGUAGACCAGCUGGUCGAGACCGAGAGAGACGAACAAACAAGAUCGUAACCUGUGGCUAUCUGCAUCUACGAACAGCUACCGGUGCUUCUCGUCGAUGGAUUAUCUACGACGAUACGCCCGCCGUUGUUGUCUGGCCGUGUGGCGCCGAAACGCCACGGGGACGUAGACUUCCGGUGCUGGCCAGCCGACAAUUCUUCUACGAAUUCCGUUCCGGACGAACAAUUGUCAUUAUCUUGGUUGACUCGGCGGAUUUUUCCUGCCUCUUUUUCGUUUCCCCUCUCGAUACGCGCCUGUAUCAGAGAUACGAUCGACGUGGCGGGUUCGGUCGGUACCGUGAUCGGUCAACGAUUGGUAAUUAUCGGCUGAUUACACGGAGCCAGAGUCACGCGUUAAUUAAAUGGUUACGCUGGCGGUGAGAAUUGGAGCUGAACGUAUCUCACAGGUUCAUGCGGCGGUUAACCGGCGUGUUUUUUCUCUACGGCCUUGUUCGUGCGAGCUUCUCGGUGGCUUCCGAUGUCGAAUUUUAUCGACGAAGAUGCGUCAGCUAAUUUACACGGAAAGUAUUCGAACGAUUAUUCUGUAAAAUUUGUAACGCGUAUGUGUGUAACGUUAUACGGAACUCGUUGAAACUUCGUUGGUAAUUUUGUUAACAUUAAUAUUUUAUUGGCAUUUAAUCUAUCAGCGUUUUAGUGGUAAAAUUAGCUAAUGGGGUUUCGUAAAUGUUUUGUAUAACACACAUGAAAAACAGCCAUGAAAAGUUUCUACAAGUUUUCCAAUGUUACAUGGUAACUAAGUGAUUGCGGAACACAAUCACUUAGUUGCCAACCUAAUAACUAGAAAAUAAUAACUAGAGCUAAUGAAUCGUAGUUUAUCUUCGGUCGAAACAUUUAUUAAUUUUCGUUAAUGUUAAUAUAAUAUCACAUUAACAACUAAAGAGAUGUUAGCAGGUUUAGUUCUAUAACUUUCAUCCGUUACAUUUUGAAAACUAAUUUAAUGGUUGAGUAACUUUCCUCCGUGAUAUAUUAUUAUUAUGUAUUAUAUAAAUUAAACAAGAUAAGGCAGUAUAGUAAUUAGAAUACCUUUUUACAUCUUUAUAGCGUACACAGUGUCAGUGGUAAAUCAUUUUACAAGUACAUAGUAAGAUUAAACAUCCUGCGCUUUCGCAAUACAUAUUUAACCACUUUGCAAUAAUUAAAAUAUAAGAGAAAGUAAUAAAUAACAACAGUAAUUUAUGUUUCUAUACAUAAUACGUACGUUGUACCAAGAAAAACGAGGUAUUUAAUUAUCUUCCGCGUCGUGAAAGGCUUUUACGGAAGAAUUAUUUACAAAAAAAAAAAGAAAAAGAAAAGAGUUAGAUAGUUCCGUAAUGACGAUGACACGCAGAAUAUAAAACGAAAUGAUGUAGCGUGUUCUUUGUUUCUUUUUACCACUGAAAAUUAUUCUAUGAAAAUUGGACGUUAUUACUAUACACAAUUUCCGCUUCCGCAAUCGCUAUUACACCGCGGUUUUACGCACACGAUGUAACAUUUACUUCCUUAAUGUGCCACUGCACUAAUUUCACAAACAUAAUCUUAUACCAUGUACAGUAAUUUCAAAACGAAACGUCGCAACUUUUUCGAAACCGAAAGUAUCACAUUUAUUUUGGAAAAAGGCAUAAAUAACUAAAAUGAAGCAAAUAAUAAUUUGCACAUUAUCGUCCACACACUGCUAUAGUGAAAUACAAAGGAUGAAACGCUGCGCGUAUUAACCUCGAACAUGUUCAGCAAAUUGUUCACAAGACACGUACAACACACGAGACUGAAACAAAAACACCGAUGAACUGAUUCAGAUUUUUCGAAUCAAAAACACUUAUUUCAUGUAAGUUAGUAUUGUAGUAUCGUGGACGAAAGGCUUUAAGAGAUAUCGGGCGAACUAUAAACAAUGUCGCGAGAAAUCUGAAGUACCGACAGGCCCAUAUAUCGUCGGUCCUUCAAUCGAACAGUGCGUGGUGGAGCUAAGACAAAAGACAAAGAGAUGCUAAGGCACAAAGAAAAAUUAACAGUCAGUGUUAGUUGAGAAGUCAGAGAGUGUUAGUUGAGAAGUCAGAGUGUGUAAAUCGAGAAGUCAAGGAGUGUGAAUUGCGUUGUCGAGAGUGUGUUGCUAACGUUCUCGAGAGAGUGUGGUCCGCGCGAGAAAGAGCGUUGGAUCCGUGGUGACGAGAGUUGUAAAUUAACUAUCUAGUUGUCUUAAUUAUAAUACGUUAUUGUGAUUAGUUCACGUUAAACAACCAUCGUUAACCUAACCUCAACAUCUGUUUAAUCCAUUUAUUGUAAAUAAACUAAUUGUAGUAAAGAUCCUACAGUAUGAACCGGGAGAAAACCAAUGUGCAAACCGAUUUGCGCGCUAUUAACGUCGCCUAGACACCGCUGUAAUGAAGUGCAAAGGGUUAAACGCUGCGGAUAUUAACCUUGCACUUCGUCAGCCAGUUAUUCGACAGACGCGUAAUCGACGUCGACGAAUUGAUUGAUAUUUUUGAAAUCACCAGUACUUAUUUAAUAGAAAUGUCUACGAAUCGAAAGAAAAGCAAUUUGCGCGCUAUUAAUCUCGCCAAGACGUUGCUCUAGUCGAGUACAACGGGUUAAACGUUGCGGAUAUUAACCUUGAACUUUAUCAGUGAAUUACUCGUCGAGCAGAUACGGCGUACUGCGGACUGAACUGCGGGAUUGAUGAAUUGAUCGAGUUUUUAAAAAGCAGAAGUAUUUGCUUCGUGUGAAUGUCUAUGAAUUGAAACCAAUUUGAACGUUAUCAAUAUCGCUGAGACGUUGUCUGCAAUGGAGCGCAAAGGUCUAAACGCUGCGGAUAUUAACCUUGCACUUCGUCAGCAAAUUAUCAGACACUGUAUGGUAUACGAGAUCGAAUCGAAACGCCGAUCAAUCGAUUGAGUUUUUUUUUUCUUUAUGACAGUACUUAUUUUACGUGAACGUCCACGAAUUGAAACCAGUUUGCAGGUUAUCAAUAUCGCCAUGGCGCUGCUAUAGCGGAGCUUAAAGGUUUACACGCUGCGGAUAUUAACCUUCAACUUCACCAAACAUAUAUGGCACAUCGAACCUCGAACUUCAUCCGUAAAUUGCUCGACGAACAGAUGCGGCAUAUCGAACCUUGAACUUCAUCAGCAAAUUACUCGACGAAGGAACACGGCAUACUGAACCUUGAACUUCAUCAGCAGAAUACUCAGCAAACAAAUACUGGUGGCAGAAACGACGAAUUGAUGAAUUUGAGGCGUAUAUGUUGUCCGUGAUAUUAGUUGUAGCUGGCUGUAGAUGUCGCUGCUGGGGUACUGCUGUAUUUUUUUUCUAUUUAAGAAUCGUGGAAAAAAAAUCGGACUUCGGUCGCCGGGUUCCGAACGUUCGUAACCUAAGGCGCUAACCUGCUGUUGUCCGUUGUUAGUAAGAGUCGAGUGGCGGUAUUUGCGCUGUCGAGUGCCGCCACAGUACCCCCUUACCAAAAAUAAGGACCACGGGGCACCAGGUGGAUUUAAACCUGGUAUUUGUAGCUGGACUAACUACACUAUAAGGACAAUACCUUAAAACUAACAUAGUUGGAAAACUUUCCUUCACAACCAUUAUUCACCAACUUUACGGGCAGGUGAUCUUUUGUCUUCAGUAAUUUACACGAAGUUAUGAAUAUCCCAUUACAAUUGGUAGAUAUUACUCUAAAUUAAUUACAGUAAGAAUAUCUCGCAGUUGUAGGUACUAAUACGAGGAGUUUUUUUUCCUUAUUUUCUUUUUUUUUUUUGGCUCCUCGUGUAUUUAUCAAAGUUUAAUAUAAUACCCCACAGAGUGGCGUAUAGUAUAUAAAAUCACCGCUUAAAAUAAGGUCAUAAUUCUUUAUUUUUCUUAACCAUUUAUAUACUAAUAUAAACUUAUAUUACUAAUAUAAAUAAUAAGGCCUAAGCAAGUCGGAGGUUCGAACCGCUGUCCUAAGUGUUUGCAGUCAGCUACAGUAACCACAUAGCCACCGUCGUCCGCUGUUAGUUCGAGUCGAGUGACGGUAUUCGUGCUGUCGAGUGCCGCCACAAAUUAAUCGAGAUUUUUUCACUCGAAGCUAUUUAUUUUUUAAACAGAAAUUAUCAUGUUCGAAAAAUAUAUUUAGGUUUAUAAAUUGCAAGAAAAUUGAACAAUAAUUUGCGCACUAUCAAUGUCGUUAUGACACUGAUAGUUUGAAGCGCAAUUGGUUGAACACUACGGAUAUUAACCUUUAACUUCAGCAGCGAAUUGCUGUAUAAACAGACACGGCAUACUGAACCUUGAACUUCGUGAGAAAAUAGGUGGUCAAACAGGAUGUCAGCAGCAAAUUAUUCUGCAAACAAAGUGGUGGAUUGUAUUGUGUUAAAACACUGUGGCGUCCUCAGCUAAACAUGUGAUUUCAUGCGGGAUACCAUCUUCGAGUAGUCAAAGUGAACGCUUGGACUUGGUCAGAGAGUUACUCGACAAACGGAAACGACGUGUUGAGCCUCCAACUUCAUCGGCAAAUUACUCUCGGCAAACGUGUACGGUAUACGAGACUGAAACGGAUGGCUGACGAAUUGAUUAAGUUUUUCUACAAUCGAAGGUAUUUAUUCUGCGACUUCAUCGGCAAAUUACUCGACAAACAGAUACGGCGUACGGGACUGAAACGAGCGACCGAUGCUACGAAUAAGGAGAAAGAAAGAGGCACAGGUAGAAAAAGAGGACGCGGACAACUAGAACACGGUUGAGAGAAGGGCACAAUGUUAAGGUGAAUAGGAGCGAGAGAACAAGGGGGAAGGAUAUCCGACUUACUAAUUGCGACGACGUCGGUGGUCCGUAGACGCACCGCGGGCCAUGACGAAAAGCGAUAUGGCCAGAGCAGAGACCGACCAAGGCCACGCCGUGAUACAUCUCCGUGGUUAACCCGAAUCGAAAUCAUAAAUCCAGCCAGGACCGGACGAUUUCCCUCAAGGUAGUCUGCGUACAAAGUCGCGCUUGUUUGCCGUGGCCCAAGUUAACACUUUGACUGCCACGUUGGUCAUAUAUGAGCCGCCACGGUUUCUCCUAUGAUGCCACGGUGGGUCAUUGGUGACCGGAGCGCUUGAAUUUCUUACAAUUGUAAAAAUUGAAUGAAAAUUGACAGUUAGGGCAUUUUGAAUAUAACCGAUAAAUAGAAGAUGCUUUGAAAUAGAAAGUGCCCCAUUGAACAAUUAAAUAUUUCUAGUAGAACAUCAAUAAAAAGAAAAGAGAACAAAUGUUGCAUCUAACGGUGCACUGUGUUAGAACACUUUAAACAUAAAUGUGGCUCAUUAAUACAAUGUGGACAAUAGGUGAUCACCUGAUAUGGUAAUUUGCCGUUUAUCGUGUAUCCUAUAACGUGUUAUUGUUUAUCGUGUUACUUAUCAGGCUCGUUGCAUUCUCGCGCGAGUUUAUUUCCAUUGCGUUACAACGUAUCUCUCGCUCUACUUGAAUAUCUUGGAAUCUAUUAAAAGGUCCCUUUAACAAACAGAUUGUUAAUCGCAGAGGAAACAAUAUCGCACAACCAUAUCGAAUUUGCUGGUUCAAUAGACCUAGC